rnacentral:rRNA from 1 species
GUAGGGAAUAUUGCGCAAUGGACGAAAGUCUGACGCAGCGACGCCGCGUAAGUGAUGAAGGCCUUAGGGUCGUAAAGCUCUGUUGAAUGGGAAGAAAAAAAUGACGGUACCAUUCGAGGAAGGACCGGCUAACUUCGUGCCAGCAGCCGCGGUAAUACGAGGGGUCCUAGCGUUGUUCGGAAUCAUUGGGCGUAAAGGGUGUGUAGGUGGCCAUGUAAGUCAGGUGUGAAAGCCCCGGGCUCAACCCGGGAAGUGCACUUGAUACUGCGUGGCUUGAGUACCGAAGAGGGUAGUGGAAUUCCAGGUGUAGUGGUGAAAUACGUAGAUAUCUGGAGGAACACCGGUGGCGAAGGCGGCUACCUGGUCGAGUACUGACACUGAGACACGAAAGCAUGGGGAUCAAACAGGAUUAGAAACCCGGGUAGUCC